GGGCUGGUAGCUCAGUUGGUAGAGCAGCGGACUUUUAAUCCGUUGGUCCCGGGUUCGAGUCCCGGCCAGCCCA
rnacentral:tRNA from 1 species